CUGCUGGCUUUGCGUAUCAAACUGCAGAAGUGACAAAAAGAAUUAGGUGAUAUCAGAUGAAACUAAUGGAUGGCAGUUACAAACAAAAGUCUUCAGAUGAUGGAUAAGUAAUCUGGAAAACAGCCAAAGGGGACUGAAGACAACAAAUGCUUGUAAGGAUUGAAAAAGUAAUUUGAUUUUUCCUCCAAGGAUUUGUUCAUUGAGGGCUACUAAACACAAGGAUGCAUACUCUGAGGCUUCCAUAACCAUGGACCUUACCAGUUCAGAGCACAACAUCCAUACUUAGUCCUGUACUUCUAGUAAAGUCAACUUAGAUAUGAGGUGCAUGUUUCCAUGCUGAAGAACUCUCUACCCAUCUUUUAAGUGCACAUGGAUUAAUCUCAUCAAUUGCUCAGUCUGGAUUUGAUUGAACACCAACACAUUUGUUCAUCCGCUGGAUGAGGAAUCCUUUGACCGGGUUUUGACCUGAAAUCUGACACAAAUCUGUUUGUUUACUUAUCUGAAGCUGAUUAAUGUCAUUAUUGAUUGCUGCAGUUUGUUUACUGCAGCUACAAUGUCACAGGUUAAUUCUACUUGCUGUGGUCUUAACACCGUAUCUCCUAAAUUAUUGACUUUUGUGCAUGCUACUCCUUCAUUUGUUUUCUCACAGUAAUAAAUCUUCAACUUUGUCUAAAAAUAAACAACACAGCACUGCUUAAGUGACUUAAAUGUCAAUCCAAGGGAAAAAGCUUGCAUCAAAUCUUUACACCAAAUAAUGUUACUAUCUAGUAUCCUUAGUACCGUUUGCUUCAAAAGUUGUAGUUUAGUUUAUGACAAAGGGUUACCUUUCAUGAUACUUACAUGACUCUUGUAAUAGAAAAGCCUAGUCAAGUUUUCCAAAGUUCUCAAAAAAACCCCUCCAACCUGAUAAACAACUUCUGUUUCAUUUGAGUAUUUCUUGAUAUUCAUGAUGACCCCAUGAUAGGAAACUUUCUGCUCUAUAAGUGUCCUGUCAUAAAGCUUGUUACAUUCAAGACCCAUAUUAUGGGGGCAGGCAAACAUACCUCUUGGAGCUGAUAUCACUAAGCUAAGACAAUCCUGCCCUAAACAAAGCUUGAUUCUGCACUUUUGUAAAAUCCUAUUUUUAUUUCAAUUGAAGUUUUAAGGGGUGAAGAAAAAAAAACAUCAAAAUUUGCAAUUAAAUCCAGAGAACUGUGGGAACCUCCAUCCCCACAAUUAAAUAUCAUCAUUCAAUAGUAGAACAACACUGUUUGAUAUUUGAUCACCCAAUGCUUAAUGUAAAAACUAUAGAACUUUUUUAGGCCACAAAACUAAAUAGUCCUUAUUUUUAAAUUGUUCUUGAAGAAAUAAAUGUUGUCAGCCAAUUAGGUACUUAAAACAUUCAACAGUUCUAGUGUGAAUAUGACAAAGUAUUAUAACCUUUUUUUCAAUACAACUGUGUUAUUUUGAGAUUUUUCAGACAUUUUGUUUCUGUCCUUAAGGGAAACUAAGCAUCUUACUGUACUUGUAGAUAAUAUAUGGAAGACUGAUGCAUAUAUGUCAUGAACAUCACUGCUUUUAAAUGCCAUUCUGAUUUCUUUAU